rnacentral:pre_miRNA from 1 species
AUGUAGAGCAAUCUGUCUUUAAGUAGGGGUAAAUUACUCUAAAAAAAGGAAUCCUAGAUAGUUUUCCCCUCAAGUCAAGUGUCUUGU